rnacentral:rRNA from 1 species
GGGCCCGCACAAGCGGUGGAGCAUGUGGUUUAAUUCGAUGCAACGCGAAGAACCUUACCUACCCUUGACAUCCUCGGAAUCUGCCGGAGACGGCGGAGUGCCUUCGGGAACCGAGUGACAGGUGCUGCAUGGCUGUCGUCAGCUCGUGUUGUGAAAUGUUGGGUUAAGUCCCGUAACGAGCGCAACCCCUGUCCCUAUUUGCCAGCGAUUCGGUCGGGAACUCUAGGGAAACUGCCGGUGCUAAGCCGGAGGAAGGCGGGGAUGACGUCAAGUCCUCAUGGCCCUUACGGGUAGGGCUACACACGUGCUACAAUGGCAGUGACAAUGGGAUAAUCCCCAAAAGCUGUCUCAGUUCGGAUUGUCGGCUGCAACUCGCCGGCAUGAAGUUGGAAUCGCUAGUA